AACUUGCCAGUCAAGAUGAAAAACUUCUUCUAAUGGAAUCCAGCUUGAAAGCAACUCAAGAGCAGCUAAGUGAGCAAAUAGCAGAAACAGUUCGCCAAGAACAGAACAGUACAAAAUCACAGACGGAGAGCUGAAGACCUUGAGAAAACAUAUUCUAACUUCUGAAGAAGAAAUUAGUGAUUACAAAGACAUGAUGGUGUGCACCAUAUGGAGCUACAACUGAGGCAGAAGCUGUCCCAUCCAUCACAAAAGGUUCACUUUGUUUACCAUUGUCAAACUUAUGACUGAAUAAUUCCCAUUUUGUUUGAAAGAAUCAGGAAAAGUGUGGAGGACUUAAAGCUGGACAAACAUUUUCAGAAUCUUACAGUUUUGAAGGUAAACACAGUUUUCUUUCAAAGUUAAUUCUUUCCAUUCUUCAUAAUUGAUAGAUUAAAAAAAACCCUGACUUUUGCAACUUCAAAUGAGCAGCUUUUUAUUUUCAAAUUCUAAAAAUACCUGAUUUUUAUGUCAAAAUUCUUUCAUUUACCAUGAUGCUUGCUUAGGAAGGAAGCACAGGAAAAGCAGUGAUCAAGGACAUACAUUGAAGCAUGUUGAAUCUUUCCUCCUUUUUUUUUGGUUUUUUGUUUGGUUUUGUUUUGUUUUGUUUUGCUUUUUUAAAUAGGAAGUUUUAAAGCUGAUGAAGAAGAAAACUGUAGGAAAAGAAAUGUCAUUGAGCGAUGAAGACAACUGGAGACUUAGACACUUUCCUGUCCUUUCCUUCAGACAUAAUGAAGAUACUACCUGUAAAUUUUCUGAAUGUCCAGUGUGAGAUGCUGCUGUCUGGUCUGACAGCAGAACUGAACUUCGCUAAAAACUACUGUAGCCAAUGUUAGUUUGCUUUGAACAGUUAAAGGUCUUUACAAAGAAGAAUUAGCAGAAGACAGGAGAAAACAAUGUUCAGUUGUAUCCUGUCUCUGACUGGGAGUUUGUGCCAAGGUCAUUCUCAUUGCAGUGUAGGACAAAAACUCCUGAGCACAUACAAGUUUUUCUGUCUCUGAGUGAUUCAAUAACUGCUAAACUUGCUUAUGAAAAGAGGAAAGCUAAACAAGAAAGUCUAGAGAGCAAUUCCUUUUAGAUCAACAUGGAAUAAUGUUAUUUCAAACUGUUAGUUCAAAAUAAAAGAGAAAUUAAUCUCUGUUUUCAUAUAUCCCAAAUGAGAGCUCUGAUAGAAAGCAUUUCACAAUUUAUUUUUGCCUAAUGUGAGACUCCUUAUCUUCCUUAACCCCAUGUUCCCAAAUCCUUUUACUUCAGCUGCCUAUGCAUAAAAUGAUAAUAGAGAUGUAUUCUCAUAUCAUGGAUGCUGAUAUUUAUGAAACACUCUGACACCAUUGGGUUGAAAAUCAGUGGCUUUAUUUGAGUUGUCUUUUUUGUUGCGUCACAAUGUGAGCUGUGUUUCUCAGUUUAAGUCAUGUAAGCUGCUGUAUAGAGACAUUAUCUGUUGGUUGCAGAUUCAGAAUUUGCCAUUGAACGGAUGAGAAUUUUGUUCCAGGGUCUUGUUUUGGACUUAAUUAUUUUGUGCAGUGUCCAUUAUUUUUAAAAAUAAUUACAUGAGUGUUAAUUUGUAGGUUUUGGAAACUCAGAUAGAGUGAAAUAUAUUUUUUCAUCCAUAUCAGUACUUGAAUAUUGUACUUUAUACGGUAAAAGAUAAAUCAUAAGAAAUCAAAAUGUUUAAGUAUUUGUCCGCUAAGUGAUAAAAGAUAUCACACAAGCUGGAUGUUUAAAGGAAGGGAUAUUACCAAAUUAUAAAUCUAAAAACAUAUAAAUAUGCUUACACAGGUUGGACAGACAUUAUACUUGGCAACAUUAAUUCUGGUGUAUUGGGAAUGCUGAAUAUUUGAAUUUGCCACAGUAAUGUUUUUUUCAGAGCCAUCUUCCAAGUCAAAGAGAAUUCAAGAGGCACCCAACUUAAAAGUAAAAUUGGAUUCACAUCUUUUAUAUGGAUAUUUUUCAGUGGGAACACCUGUGAAGGGGUUCCUUGCUCGGUGUGCUGUAUUUUCUGACUUAAUCAGACCAGUCAAAGAUUUGGCAAGUGGUUUCUCUAGCAGGGAAGCAACAAGGUAGCAAAAAAACCCAGAAUAAGUAAGGGCCACAGCACAGCGCUGACAUUCCCCAAGACACAAGAACUUUUCAGCAGAAUGGAUGUAGAACUUAGGUGAUAGAUCACUCUCUCUCCAUGCACAUUCUCUCACAUACUUAUUUGUUAAUACCUUCCUUAGAAAUAUAGAUAUUAUUUUCAUUUACCUGUUUCAAGAUAAUUUGGCCUUGAGCAAAAACCGAGCAAGACAAAUUUCAAUCCAAACAGAUGAAGCUGGGCAAAGCUCUAGGAAACUCAAAACCAUGUCUAAUAAUGGAAAAUUUUGUGGUAGGUGGAAGAAUGAUAGACAACUCUAAUGGCACCCUGGCAAUCAAUGAAGCUACCAGAAGUGGGGCUUUUUUAUGAAAUCAGCUUGCUGAAACUGGUGAAUGUGCAAAGGAUUUUUUGCUCAUAGACAUCAAAUGAAAUGGAAAAUAACAAAUUCUAAUGAAGAAAAUUUAACCUUGACAAAAACAAAAUACUGCCUUGCCUACCAUUUUCAGAAUUGUAUAUUAGCCCUUCAAGGAUAAACAUCAUCAAUAUCAUGCAAAAAUUCAAAAUAAAUUUUUAAAGCUAGGAAAUAAUCUUCUUAUUUUUCUUCUUUUUUUUUUUUUUUUCAAAAUUGUAGUCAGAGAUUUAUAAGGAAUGGACUUCAAUUUAUCAUGUAUUACUGUCUUCAAUACAAUCCACAACAGCCAGCACUUUCUUCUAGAACCAAGAGGAGGGUUGAGACAAUGCCAUAGUUCUGUUUGAUUUUACCUUUGAUUUUAAGUUAAUUGAUUUACAUUAAUUUGGAAUUCCCUUUCAGAUGGAUAUUUCAGUUGUCAGAAUUCAUAAUGGCAAUAUACAUUCUCUUUUUAAGUAUGGUAGCCCUAAAGAUUACAUGAGAGCCCUUAAGGCUAAAAGAACUUCAGGCCUGCAAAAAAACACUUAAAUGUUUUGAAGUAGAAACUUUUAUCAUCGGACCUGACAGCACUGAAUGCAUUCUUUUCAUUAUAGAUUUUUCACCAGACUUGAGUGUUCUCUUGCAGAUUGUAGUGCUGACUGCUGUUAAUAGUACUCCACUGGAUUCCCAUCAAAAAUGAAUGGAAUCCAUCUGAGUGGCUUGGUUGAUUUGGUUUUGGUUUGGUGAGAUGUUUGUUUGCUUGUUUAGUUGGUUUUUUGUCUGCAGCUGUUGUGGCCCACUUUGCUUGGUGGGUUGAGGGGAAGGUUGCUUGAUUUGCUCUGAGUGGUGCACAGGAAAAAUGACAAAAUUCUCAGAUGGUUCAGUAUCAAACUUUUCUUCCAAACUUUAGAACAGUUAAGGUAAAAUAAAGUACUUGGCAAACUUUAAAACGUAGCCAUUUUAGUUAGACAAUCAAUAAUAAAAAGCAUAAAAUUAACUUGAGAAAAUGCAUAAGAGAAAAGGAGAAAAAGUGAAAGAAAGUAUAAGAGUAGCAAGCUUUAAAAUCACCACCUGUGGAUCCAGAAAUGAGACCUGAUUGUUGAAAUUUUGAGGUCUCUUGGUCAAAGCGAUGUAGCAGUCUUGAUCCACCAGGGGUGGGGGAAGCCUUCAAUUUGGAGUAAGAAAAAUAGUUGCAUUAUUUAAUACCUAAUGAUAUUCUCGGAUGAAAAAAAAAGUUACACAUUUUAAAGAAUGCAUGAACAAUAGCUGUGGUGAUAACAUCUAACUCUUAUCUAGCAAUUUACAUUCAGAAAUGUUAUGUUUUGCUAAGGAUGUGUAAUUUAAGUCAAUUUUUUUAAAGAAUACUAGGAUUUUGUACAGAUGCAUGUGUAUUUAUGUGUUUACUGGGGAAUAAAACUGAUUUUUAUAGAUUAGGACUUUGGAGCACAAGAUAGUGAAGUGUCUUGUCUUAGGUAUCAGCAAAGAUGAAAAGAACAAUACCAUUUGAAUAAAGGAACAUGAAAAAGACCAAUUUAUAACAGCAAAUGAGCAUGGAAUUCACAGGAGCCAUCUAUUCUACAGAAACUCUCUGUAGGAACUGAGAGUCCAUGGGAAAAAGACAGUGCCUUUUUUUCAUUUUUCUUUCUAUGAAAAAGAGAACAGGCUACUUGGUUUUUAUUAAAGGGGGGGGAAAUGCACACAGUCUGACAAUAUUUGCAUUCUCUUUUACUCAACUGUAAUUUUCUUGUCCACUCUGGAGAUUUGAAUUAAAUUCAUUUUUUAUUGUAAAGCCAUAUAAACCUCAAGAAAACUAGUUUUCUCUGCCUCUCCUUCUCUGCAUAUGUAUUUAUAUAGAGAUAUGUCUUUUUUGUUUGUUUAUUUAUUUCUACUUCUGACUCAACACAGCUGUGUAAAAAUAGUGUACUUUGAGUGCUUAUACUUUUCAUCCCUGUAAUUAAUACACAGGAAAGAAAGCAUUGAGAUAAGUGGAACAAUAUAAUAAAACGGUUUAAAUGGGAUACUUUUAGAAAAAGAAAUAUUUUGCAGGAAUGAAAGCUUUUCCAUCUAAAUUAUACCAUGUAAUCUAAACUGGUUUUAAGCUUAAAAAACAUGCAAAUUACAGAAAAUCUGGAAGAAGGGAUUGGCUGGACACAAGAAAAACUCUGCCAUGUGCAGGAGGAGCUUUUAGAAGAGCAGUCUCAGGCGAUAAUUCUCCAGCCGAACUAGGGCUCAGUGAAAAAACUGAUAAAAUGCUAUAGUACUCAGGUAGUAGCCUCAAUACAGUAUAUGAAAUUGAAGCUUAAUAUUUGAAGUAAUGUAAAUGAAUGUUCCUAGAUUAUUAUUCCACUAGGAAAGGAAAUAUUAUUUAAAUAACAUUACCAGUAAAAUUAACUUUCAGCACAUGAGAGUUAUUACUGAAAAUAUUUAGCCAACAUAAAAGAACAUCUUUUUAAUUUCUUGUGGGUGGGAUUCAUCUUGUCUAACUUCAGAUUUCCACUUUAGGUGGAUAUACAGGAGGGAGGUCCCUAAGUUCCCAUUAUGGUUGUUGGAGACUUUAUCAAUUCAGAGAGUGGAACCAAGAGCUGAGCAAACAUCAAACCAAUCGAGUAUUAAAGUGUGUUUUCUUGCCAGUCUAAAAAAGUCUGCAGACAAACAUUCAACCAGGCCUCUACUCCAUGCAAUGGAAGAAUAUGUAUGCAGUCACACAUAAUCAACUAAAUACAGAUGCAAAAAUUGAUGAUCUGGUGAGUUACCUUUUCCCAAUAACUCAUUAAAUGCUACAAAUUAAUUAAUUAUUUGUUUGUCAUUAUUAAAUGUUUCACAUGCAUUAAUACAGGUCAUUUCUCUGAAAAAUAAUAUAUAAAUACAAGGAUUUAAAAGGGAGUGAUUUAUGACAUAGAGGAAAAAAAUUAAAAUAAUAGAUGGUCUUUCCUGUGUCUGUGUCUUUUCUUGUUUUAUAUUUAGGGUCUUUUUUUUUCUUGUAUUUGGAUUUUUUGUUUGA